rnacentral:rRNA from 1 species
CAGAACGAACGCUGGCGGCGCGUUUAAGCAUGCAAGUCGAGCGGCAAGGGCCUUCGGGCCCCUAGAGCGGCGGACGGGUGAGUAACACGUGGACAAUCUGCCCCCCGGCCCGGGAUAGCCCAGGGAAACCUGGAUUAAUACCGGAUGAGACGGGACCCGCGAUGGCGGGACCCGGGAAAGGCGCUGCGGCGCCGCCGGGGGAUGAGUCUGCGUCCCAUUAGCUAGACGGCGGGGUAACGGCCCACCGUGGCGACGAUGGGUAGCCGGCCUGAGAGGGUGGACGGCCACAUUGGAACUGAGACACGGUCCAGACUCCUACGGGAGGCAGCAGCUAAGAAUCUUCCGCAAUGGGCGAAAGCCUGACGGAGCCGACGCCGCGUGAACGAAGAAGGCCGUGAGGUUGUAAAGUUCUUUUCGGGAGGGGGAACAACCGUGGCAGGGAAUGGCCGCGGGAUGACGUGAAUCCCGGAAUAAGCCCCGGCUAACUACGUGCCAGCCGCCGC